UCUGGAAAAUAAAAGGUAAUACCUCUUGGGAAACCUUUGCUCUUUGACGGCCUUUUUCCUAAUCAAAGGAACUUGUUUAUUAAUCGAAACCACCCGUUUAUUCUCACUCUCUCUCAAAGUUUUUAUACCGCCGUCUUAAGAACACACUAUAAAUUUUGCUCUAAAUUAGUCUCCUAGAUAAGUCAGGUCAAGGUGAAGCCUAUGGUAGAGAUCAAAAUGAGUUAUUCAUAAAUAUAAUUUAAAAAUUUUUAUCUAAAGAAUAAAUGAAUCAAGAUUUGAAAGUAUCAUUAAAUUAAUAAAUUAUAAAGAGAUAGUAAAAAAAGGUGC
rnacentral:rRNA from 1 species